GAUCUGCCAUUAUUUGCAAAUCGGGAUCUGGUGAUCAAAAUUUACCCUUUAGCUUACAAGAACACGGCGAUGAUGAAAGUCACUUUGACAGUCUUGAUUUUUCUUGCUAAUUCUAUGCUCAUCAAUGCUGGAACAAACUUCGACGCGGCUUGGUCAAGUGAUUGUCCAUCAGGCCAAUCCAUCCGGCAUAUCAGCAGCGUUCAUAGCAACUGGCAUGAAGAUCGUUCAUGGACAUGGAAAUGCAAACAUGACUCCAUAAUAACAAGUUCAUGCCGAUGGUCUGGGUAUGUAAAUUCGU